UCUCACUACUGAUAUUGCAGUGGGAUAGAUGUCACUGAGGCUUUGCGACUUCAGAUGGAAGUUCAGAAACAACUGCAUGAGCAGCUCGAGAUUCAAAGAGAAAUGCAAAUUCGGAUAGAAGAACAGGGAAAGGUGCUGUCGAUGAUGUUUGAGAAGCAAAAUAUAGGCUUUGGCAAACUGGAACAAGAGGAGAAAACAAGCGCGGAAAAGCCUGAAAAUGGUUCAGAGGAGUCAUCAGAUUCCCCGCGGGCAAAGCGUCGGAGAAACGAAGAAUGAAGGGAACCUUUUCUCGGGAUGGUAGAUCAUAAAACUGAGGUUUUUGGUGGAGUUGUAGAGUUUGACUUAUUAGAGUAAGAGACUUUUUUCUGUCUUCUUCAGGCUUUUCUCUCUCUUUUUUUUUCUUUCUUAAACUAAUUUUCUGAUUAUCAGCUCUCUAGGAAGAAACAACAAUAAUAAAAAAGAGCAAUUCCAUCUUUCUGAUGUAA